rnacentral:rRNA from 1 species
UGUGUAGGCGGCUACGAAAGUCGGAUGUGAAAGCCCCGGGCUCAACCCGGGAAGUGCACCCGAUACUGCGUGGCUUGAGUACCGGAGAGGUUGGUGGAAUUCUCGGUGUAGAGGUGAAAUUCGUAGAUAUCGAGAGGAACACCGGUGGCGAAGGCGGCCAACUGGACGAGUACUGACGCUGAGACACGAAAGCGUGGGGAGCAAACAGGAUUAGAUACCCUGGUAGUCCACGCCGUAAACGAUGGGUGCUAGGUGUCACGGGCUUUGACUCCUGUGGUGCCGUAGCCAACGCAUUAAGCACCCCGCCUGGGAAGUACGGCCGCAAGGCUAAA